UAGCGGAGGGGGCGAGCGUUAUUCGGAAUUAUUGGGCGUAAAGGGCGCGUAGGCGGCUUGGCAAGUCAAAGGUGAAAUCCCUCGGCUCAACUGAGGAACUGCCUUUGAAACUGCCUGGCUUGAGGCCGGGAGGGGGUAGCGGAAUUCCCAGUGUAGCGGUGAAAUGCGUAGAUAUUGGGAGGAACACCAGUGGCGAAGGCGGCAUCCUGGACCGGUAUUGACGCUGAGGCGCGAAAGCCAGGGGAGCAAACGGG
rnacentral:rRNA from 1 species